GACACAAAAUUCCUGGGCAAAAUUAAAAAGUAAAAGGGAAUGAACAAGGGCCUAAUCAAAUAGCAGCACAAAAGGGACGGACUGAUCACGCAAAUUACCUAUUUAAGGCGGAAAUGCGCGGAUCCAGCACCAAAAUUUUAUUAAAGAUACAUUUAUGCUAUUGCUAUAGUAAACAAAAAUAAUAAUAAUAAAAAUCAAAGAUUUUCCCCUUUUCACAAUUAACCCUAAAAGCUUAAAGGGUUUAUUCCUUUCCCUUUUCUUCUCCUGGAGAAACUUCCGUCGCACCACUGGACCACCACCAUACUUGGUGGCUAGCAACUCACGAGAAUGAGCCUUUCGACCUUGUUCCAAGAUAGGUUCGGGUACAGUUGGAGGGUGGCGCGUGUGGAGGACGUUGUGGAAGUGGCUUGCGGCAGCCCAAAGCUAAGGUUACCCAUGCUGAAAAUUUAUUUGUUUUUUGGGCCAUUCGGGCCUAAGUUUUAAAUCAUUUUGGGCUUGUACUUGGGUAAGGUUUGGUCUGUAAAAAAUAGGCCAAUCGGGCUGUGUUUUUGUUGGACUUUGGACCUUAUUUUGUUUGUUAUUUUAUUUUAUUUUUGUAUAAUUUAUGCCCAGGCAGAUUGGUCCGCUUACAA